GACGAACGCUGGCGGCGUGCCUAAUACAUGCAAGUCUGACGCAGUUGCGAACGGGUGAGUAACGCGUAGGUAACUCUCUCUUUGAGGGGGAUAACUAUUGGCAACGAUAGCUAAUACCGCAUACUAGUAGAUGGACCUACGUUGUAUUAGCUAGUAGGUAGGGUAAUGGCCUACCUAGGCAACGAUACAUAGCCGACCUGGGAGGGUGAUCGGGCACACGGGGACUGAGAAACGGCCCAGACUCCUACGGGAGGCAGCAGUAGGGAAUCUUCGGCAAUGGGGGGAACCCUGACCGAGCAAAGCCGCGUGAGUGAAGAAGGUUUUCGGGUCGUAAAGAUCUGUUGGUAAGGAAGCGGUACUUAACCAGAAAGGGACGGCUAACUACGUGCCAGCAGCCGCGGUAAUAC
rnacentral:rRNA from 1 species